rnacentral:rRNA from 1 species
AUCUUGCGCAAUGGGCGAAAGCCUGACGCAGCCAUGCCGCGUGAAUGAUGAAGGUCUUNGGAUUGNANAAUUCUUUCACCGGGGANGAUAAUGACGGUACCCGGAGAAUAAGCCCCGGCAAACUUUGUGCCAGAAGCCGCGGUAAUACGAAGGGGGGCAGCGUUGCCUGGAAUUACUGGGCGUAAAGGGCGAGUAGGCGGAUCGUUAAGUAAGGGGUGAAAUCCCGGGGCUCAACCUCGGAACUGCCCUUGAUACUGGCGAUCUUGAGUAUGAGAAAGGUAUGUGGAACUCCGAGUGUAGAGGUGAAAUUCGUAGAUACUCGGAAGAACACCAGUGGCGAAGGCGACAUACUGGCUCAUUACUGACGCUGAGGCGCGAAAGCGUGGGGAGCAAAC